rnacentral:lncRNA from 1 species
GUGACUCGAGCGUAUUGGCAUUCAAGGCUGACGUGCCACGGUGGACGGACAAAAAGAAAACGUGAAAAUUGUUUUCUGGCGUUCAUUUAAAAACCCAUACCGGCAGCCAUACACACAAGGUGACGAUGUCUCUCUCCAAGACUGGGAUGUUCGUUUUACUGACGAUGGCUAUUUUUUUCACAACUGACAUUUACGCUAUGACACCAUGUGGCAGCGCGUGUCGUAUUUCUCAGGCUGGAAUGGUGACAAGCUGUCCCAGAGGCUGCAAAUGCGUUACGGAGACCAAAAGCAGCUUCGGAGGCGGCACAGGGAUAUGUCAACCGACUUUCUAGCUGACACGGACUAUCUAGACCCCUACAUUUGUUUUUGCCAUCUGGCACAAGUAAACGAAGGAAUGAAGAAAGACAUGAAGAACGGACAUAACCUAGACGUCACCCUCUUGCUUGCGUGUUGCUGUGUCUUCCACAAACGCAGUGUUCGUUGUU